rnacentral:rRNA from 1 species
CCUACGGGUCGCACCAGUGGGGGAUAUUGGACAAUGGGCGGAAGCCUGAUCCAGCAACGCCGCGUGAGGGAUGACGGCCUUCGGGUUGUAAACCUCUUUCAUCACCGACGAAGCCUUUGGGUGACGGUAGGUGGAGAAGAAGCACCGGCCAACUACGUGCCAGCAGCCGCGGUAAUACGUAGGGUGCGAGCGUUGUCCGGAAUUAUUGGGCGUAAAGGGCUCGUAGGCGGUUUGUCGCGUCGGGAGUGAAAACACCGGGCUUAACUCGGUGCUUGCUUUCGAUGCGGGCAGACUAGAGGUAUGCAGGGGAGAACGGAAUUCCUGGUGUAGCGGUGAAAUGCGCAGAUAUCAGGAGGAACACCGGUGGCGAAGGCGGUUCUCUGGGCAUGUCCUGACGCUGAGGAGCGAAAGUGUGGGGAGCGAACAGGAUUAGAUACCCGGGUAGUC